AACUGGCGUAUGUAGAUGAGACAU
rnacentral:piRNA from 1 species